rnacentral:rRNA from 1 species
GACGAACGCUGGCGGCGUGCUUAACACAUGCAAGUCGAACGGAAAGGCCCUGCUUUUGUUGGGUGCUCGAGUGGCGAGCGGGGGAGUAACACGUGUGUAACCUGCCCUUGACUUUGGGAUAUCUUCUGGAAACUGGGGCUAAUACCGGAUAUGAGCUCCUGCUCCACGGUGGGGGUUGGAAAGUUUCGGCGGUUGUGGAUGGACUCGGGGCUUAUCAGCUGGUUUGUCGGGUAGUGGCUGACCAAGGCUUUGACGGGUAGCCGACCUGGGAGGGUGACCGGCGACCAGGCGACUGAGAUACGGAGCAGAAGGCUAUGGGACGCAGGGGUGGGGAAUAGUACACAGUGGCGGGAAGGCUGAGGCGACAACGCCGGGUGCGGGAUACCAGCCUACGGGUUAUAAACAGAUUUCGACUGUGCUGAAGCGUGAGUGACGGUACUGGGUAAAGAAGCACCGGCUAACUACGUG